AUUGAACGCUGGCGGCAUGCUUUACACAUGCAAGUCGAACGGUAACAGGCCGCAAGGUGCUGACGAGUGGCGAACGGGUGAGUAAUGCAUCGGAACGUGCCCAGUCGUGGGGGAUAACGCAGCGAAAGCUGCGCUAAUACCGCAUACGAUCUAUGGAUGAAAGCGGGGGACCGUAAGGCCUCGCGCGAUUGGAGCGGCCGAUGUCAGAUUAGGUAGUUGGUGGGGUAAAGGCUCACCAUGCCAACGAUCUGUAGCUGGUCUGAGAGGACGACCAGCCAAACCGGAUCUGAGACACGGCUCAGACGCCUACGGGAGGCAGCAGUGGGGAAUUUUGGACAAUGGGCGCAAGCCUGAUCCAGCAAGGCCGCGUGCAGGAAGAAGGCGUUCGGGUUGUAAACUGCUUUUGUACGGAACGAAAAGGCUCUGGUUAAUACCUGGGGCUCAUGACGGUACCUGAAGAAUAAGCACCGGCUAACUACGUGCCAGCAGCCGCCGUAAGAC
rnacentral:rRNA from 1 species